CUGCCUAAUACUGCAGUCGAGCGGAUCUUCUCCUUCGGGGGAAGUUAGCGGCGGACGGGUGAGUAACACGUAGGCAACCUGCCCACAAGACUGGGAUAACAUUCGGAAACGAAUGCUAAGACCGGAUACGCAAGCCUGGGGCAUCCCGGGCUUGGGAAACACGGCGCAAGCUGUGGCUUGUGGAUGGGCCUGCGGCGCAUUAGCUAGUUGGUGGGGUAACGGCCCACCAAGGCGACGAUGCGUAGCCGACCUGAGAGGGUGAACGGCCACACUGGGACUGAGACACGGCCCAGACUCCUACGGGAGGCAGCAGUAGGGAAUCUUCCACAAUGGGCGAAAGCCUGAUGGAGCAACGCCGCGUGAGUGAGGAAGGCUUUCGGGUCGUAAAGCUCUGUUGCCAGGGAAGAAUAAGGGCCAGUUAACUGCUGGUCCGAUGACGGUACCUGAGAAGACAGCCCCGGCUAACUACGUGCCAGCAGCCGCGGUAAUACGUAGGGGGCAAGCGUUGUCCGGAAUUAUUGGGCGUAAAGCGCGCGCAGGCGGUUCUUUAAGUCUGGUGUAUAAGUGCGGGGCUCAACCCCGUGAGGCACUGGAAACUGGGGAACUUGAGUGCAGAAGAGGAGAGCGGAAUUCCACGUGUAGCGGUGAAAUGCCUAGAGAUGUGGAAGAACACCAGUGGCGAAGGCGGCUCUCUGGACUGUACCUGACGCUGAGGCGCGAAAAGCGUGGGGAGCAACAAGGAUUAGAUACCCCUGGUAUCCACGCCGUAAACGAUGAGUGCUAGGUGUUGGGGGGAUCCCCCCCUCGGUGCCCAAAUUUACACAUUAAGCACUCCCCCUGGGGGAUAACCUCGCAGAAAUGAAACUCAAAGAAUUGACGGGGACCCGCCCAAC
rnacentral:rRNA from 1 species